UACGUAGGGAGCAAGCGUUAUCCGGAUUUAUUGGGUGUAAAGGGAGCGCAGGCGGCACGGCAAGCCUGAUGUGAAAGCCCGCGGCCCAACCGCGGGACUGCAUUGGGAACUACCGGGCUGGAGUGCCGGAGAGGUAGGCGGAAUUCCUAGUGUAGCGGUGAAAUGCGUAGAUAUUAGGAGGAACACCAGUGGCGAAGGCGGCCUACUGGACGGUGACUGACGCUGAGGCUCGAAAGCGUGGGGAGCAAACAGG
rnacentral:rRNA from 1 species